UACGUAGGGGGCUAGCGUUGUCCGGAAUCAUUGGGCGUAAAGCGCGUGUAGGCGGUCCGGUAAGUCCGCUGUGAAAGUCGGGGGCUCAACCCUCGGAUGCCGGUGGAUACUGUCGGGCUUGAGUACGGAAGAGGCGAGUGGAAUUCUCGGGUGUAGCGGUGAAAUGCGUAGAUAUCGAGAGGAACACCUGCGGCGAAGGCGGGUUGCUGGGCUGACACUGACGCUGACAGCGCGAAAGCUAGGGGAGCGAACGGG
rnacentral:rRNA from 1 species